GUCUACGGCCAUGCCACCCUGAACAAGCCCGAUCCUGUCUGAUCUCAGAAGCUAAGCAGGGUCGGGCCUGGUUAGUACUUGGAUGGGAGACCACUUAGGAAGACCAGGUGCUGUAGGUG
rnacentral:rRNA from 1 species